rnacentral:rRNA from 1 species
GUAGAUAAACAUGCUUUAAAAUUUUCAUAAAGUUGAAGGAAGUAAGGGCAUAUAGUGGAUGCCUUGGCACUAAGAGCCGAUGAAGGACGA